GCUUAAACUGUUUUCACAGGUGAAAACUACAAGCCAAUUAAUACCAAUGCCAAGGAACUAUUAUACAGAGAUGCCUAUAUCACUGAGGGAUUUAGUUACAACUUUUUUGGUACUAACGAAGGGAUGGAAGAAAAGCACAACAACCUCAAUUAACUGGACACAUCCAUGUGAUCACACUCUUCAUGAUCUGAAUCAUUACAGUUUUCUAAAGUUCUUCCAUGAGCUGUCACACAAAUGUAAUCUAGAAGAAAGGAAAAUGGAGAACGAUCCUCCUCACACAGAAUGCAAAGAGAAACUGCAGGAAACAGGACUGGCAUUUAGUUUCACAUUUAUAUGCUUCUCAUGUCAAAUAAUUUGGUCAUAAAAAGCUUAUGUUGCCAUGUACAGACUGCCCAUUAGUGUCCUACACUGAAUGAUGGCGGGACAGGCUAGACGUCUACCUUUCUCUGGGGGACUUUCUCUGCCUUUGCUUCAUACUCAG